UUGGUCAAAGGUAGCGAGAUAAUUUGUUUUUUUAUUGGAUUCUAGUAUGAAUGGAUUUUUUGUUAUUAAAUAUAUUGAUUUUAAAAAGAAUUUUAAAUUUAUUUAAAAAAUAAUAAAUAAAAUAAAACUAAGAAAAGUCUUUAGAAAUUUAUUAUUUAAUUUAAUUAGGGAAAUAAAAUAAUUAAUAUUUUUUUCUUAAUCAAAAAAAAAAAUUUCUCUAGAGUUAACAGGAAUAAAUAUUAAUUUAUUAUUUUUACAUCGAUGUUGUUUUAUUUAAUAUUAAAAAUGAGAAACUUUUGAGUGAGAGACUGUUCUUCUUUUUUUAAUACGUGAAAUUAGUUUAAUU
rnacentral:rRNA from 1 species